UGGGGAAUUUUGGACAAUGGGCGAAAGCCUGACCCAGCAACGCCGCGUGAAGGAUGAAGUAUUUCGGUAUGUAAACUUCGUAAGAGUAGGAAGAAUAAAUGACGGUACUAUUUGUAAGGUCCGGCUAACUACGUGCCAGCAGCCGCGGUAAUACGUAGGGACCAAGCGUUGUUCGGAUUUACUGGGCGUAAAGGGCGCGUAGGCGGCGUGGUAAGUCAUCUGUGAAAUCUCCGAGCUUAACUCGGAACGGUCAGAUGAUACUGCUGUGCUAGAGUACAGAAAGGGCAAUCGGAAUUCUUGGUGUAGCGGUGAAAUGCGUAGAUAUCAAGAGGAACACCUGAGGCGAAGGCGGGUUGCUAGGCUGAUACUGACGCUGAGGCGCGAAAGCUAGGGUAGCAAACGGGAUUAGAUACCCAUGUAGUCCCUGAGCGGGCUGGCAAGGCGCAU
rnacentral:rRNA from 1 species